rnacentral:SRP_RNA from 1 species
GCACUAGGUGGGGAACUAGCGGUGCCCUUAUCCUGAGAUCCGCUACAGCAGGGCUGAAUGCAUUUCUCGGCAUAGUGCAUGGAAGGUUGCGGAUAGCAAGCGGUGAUGAUAUUAAGGUCUUGUGCAAUGGUCAUUUGUGAACCGUGUCAGAGCUUAGCGGCAGCAGCACUAAGCAAACUCGGCCAUGUGCCACAAGGUAGCUUUAAAGGAGCUGGCUACUG